rnacentral:rRNA from 1 species
AGAGUUUGAUCAUGGCUCAGAACGAACGCUGGCGGCGUGCCUAACACAUGCAAGUCGAGCGCGAAAGGGGGGGCAACUCCCCGAGUAGAGCGGCGCACGGGUGAGUAACGCGUGGGUAACCUACCUCCGGGCGGGGGAUAACCACUCGAAAGGGUGGCUAAUACCGCAUGAGACCACGGGGUCCUCGGAUCCUGGGGUUAAAGGUGGCACCGGCUUGCCGGUGCUGUCACCUGGUGAUGGGCCCGCGUACGAUUAGCUAGUUGGUAGGGUAACGGCCUACCAAGGCUGCGAUCGUUAGCUGGUCUGAGAGGAUGACCAGCCACACUGGAACUGAAACACGGUCCAGACUCCUACGGGAGGCAGCAGUGAGGAAUAUUGCGCAAUGGGGGAAACCCUGACGCAGCAACGCCGCGUGGGUGAAGAAGGCCUUCGGGUCGUAAAGCCCUUUCGGACGGGACGAACGCUCCGCGGGGAUAAUCCGCGGAGUCUGACGGUACCGUAGGAAGAAGCACCGGCUAACUCCGUGCCAGCAGCCGCGGUAAUACGGAGGGUGCAAGCGUUGUUCGGAAUUACUGGGCGUAAAGCGCGUGUAGGCGGCCUGAUAAGUCAGAUGUGAAAGCCCCCGGCUUAACCGGGGAAGUGCAUCUGAAACUGCCUGGCUUGAGUACGGGAGAGGGAGGCGGAAUUCCCAGUGUAGAGGUGAAAUUCGUAGAUAUUGGGAGGAACACCGGUGGCGAAAGC